rnacentral:lncRNA from 1 species
UCAAUCGGAAUAACAAAGCAACAAUUGUUAGACUGAAAUACCGAAGUUGUGACCGGAACCUCGAAUCGGCACCGAAAAACAUGAAACCCAAAUGCGUACUACGAUGAGCUCGGAACUCGCCGGAAAAACUUGAAUUAAACUAGAACGAUGAAAUCAACAAACUCUGUGAUAGUGAUUUAGAGGCGAGAGAACUAUUUGUACAUUUAUUCCGCACGUUCUAUACUCACCUCAUCCAAAAAGUGCCAAAUUAAUUACAUUAAUUUUGUGUCUCAUAAAAUAUUCUGGCAAUAUUAGGUAGGUCAUGGUUUUUUGGAGGUGGAAAUUAAUUGGUGUACAAAAUCAAGGGAAAUUAAUUGGUUAUUGCUUCUAACAAUAGCUGACCAUGGGAUGAUUUUUGGAAGAUGUGGGUAUAUUUGGUUUUUGGGAAAAUUGAG